GAUGAACGCUAGCGGGAGGCUUAAUACAUGCAAGUCGAGCGGCAAGUUUUGAUAGCAAUAUUGGAACCUAGAGCGGCGCACGGGUGAGUAACGCGUACAUGACCUGCCCUAUACUGGGGGAUAGUCUUGGGAAACUGAGAAUAAUCCCGCAUGUGAUUAGAAUGCUGCAUGGCAAAUUAAUUAAAGCUGAGGCGGUAUAGGAUGGGUGUGCGUCUGAUUAGCUAGUUGGUAGUGUAACGGACUACCAAGGCGAUGAUCAGUAGGGGGCGUGAGAGCGUGACCCCCCACACGGGUACUGAGACACGGACCCGACUCCUACGGGAGGCAGCAGUAAGGAAUAUUGGUCAAUGGAGGGAACUCUGAACCAGCCAUCCCGCGUGAAGGAUGAAGGGGCUCUGCCUUGUAAACUUCUUUUGUAUGGGGCGAAAAAAGGGGAGUUUAUCCUCGACUGACGGUACC
rnacentral:rRNA from 1 species